rnacentral:rRNA from 1 species
GACGAACACUGGCGGCGUGCUUAACACAUGCAAGUCGAACGGAAAGGCCCUGCUUUUGUGGGGUGCUCGAGUGGCGAACGGGUGAGUAACACGUGAGUAACCUGCCCUUGACUUUGGGAUAACUUCAGGAAACUGGGGCUAAUACCGGAUAGGAGCUCCUGCUGCAUGGUGGGGGUUGGAAAGUUUCGGCGGUUGGGGAUGGACUCGCGGCUUAUCAGCUUGUUGGUGGGGUAGUGGCUUACCAAGGCUUUGACGGGUAGCCGGCCUGAGAGGGUGACCGGCCCCAUUGGGACUGAGAUACGGCCCAGACUCCUACGGGAGGCAGCAGUGGGGAAUAUUGCACAAUGGGCGGAAGCCUGAUGCAGCAACGCCGCGUGCGGGAUGACGGCCUUCGGGUUGUAAACCGCUUUCGCCUGUGACGAAGCGUGAGUGACGGUAAUGGGUAAAGAAGCACCGGCUAACUACGUG